rnacentral:rRNA from 1 species
AUUAUGGAGAGUUUGAUCCUGGCUCAGGACGAACGCUGGCGGCGUGCCUAAUACAUGCAAGUCGAGCGAAUGAUGAAGAAGC